rnacentral:rRNA from 1 species
GACGUAGGGCGCGAGCGUUGUCCGGAUUUAUUGGGUGUAAAGAGCUCGUAGGCGGUUUGUCGCGUCUGCCGUGAAAGUCCGGGGCUCAACUCCGGAUCUGCGGUGGGUACGGGCAGACUAGAGUGUGGUAGGGGAGACUGGAAUUCCUGGUGUAGCGGUGAAAUGCGCAGAUAUCAGGAGGAACACCGAUGGCGAAGGCAGGUCUCUGGGCCACUACUGACGCUGAGAAGCGAAAGCAUGGGGAGCGAACAGG